UGGCCGCCAUUAAUGUGUUCGUCUGGAGUCUGCUUUUCAAGGCAACAAUCCCAUUUCUUUAGAGCCAUUCUGAAAGAAGAAGUGAACUUGUUUCACGCUGAUAGACAGGGGAUUUUAGUAGAAAAGGUGUCAGUUUUCAAAUCAAGGAGGAAUAACACACUCAAAUCUAAAGGGAACAAACAAAAGAAGAUCUGGACAACAUGAAGUCACUUAAACUAAAUCUGAUUCUUAUUUCGCUGGCAAUCAUCGCUCUCGUAAUAGAUAUUAAAGGUCAACUAUGUAAUCAAAAAACAUGCGAAGAUAUAAAAGGCAGGUGCGCAAGAAAAGGACAAAGUAUGAGAUGUGCAAGGAUAGGGCGAACCUGUCGCUGCAAGUCAAGUUUAAUUCUGAACAAACUUCCUCCGUUUUACGAGAAACAAUCGGUUAAUGGACUCGAGGCCACACUUGAUAUUUCUCUCGCUAUACAGAGUAACGGAAAAGCUGGAAGUGUCAUUGACAAUGACAAUACAAAUGACACAGAUUACUGACUGAUUUCAUGUUGUAAAUGGAAUAAUUAAUAUAUUGAACGUGGUUUGUCGUGGACAUAGUUUUACCAAAUUGAAUGUUGAUUGUUAUGGUUAACAAAUAAUAUAUAAAGAAAGUAGUUAACCAUUACAUACUGUUGUAUUUCAUUUAUUUUAAAGAUUGCAAUCUAAAAAAAACUAAUAUUUGCAAGUAAAAUGUUCAUAAUAAAAAUUAAAGUUAACAGUCAAACCUUGUUGACAUACAGUCUCUUUGUUAUAUCUGUAACUAACUGUUAAUGCAACUAUGUGUAAGAAAUAUUGAAAUAUAAUUGAUGACUUAGUUACCAAAGCCACCGGUAUUACAAACAUCCGUAGAGCGAAGUUUCUCAAUAUUAAAUUAGAAAUUGUAAGCAUUGUUGUUGCAAAAUGCCUUACACUGUAUUGUAAAUAAUUGUAUUAAAUGUAAACUAGCAACUUACCUAUUUACUCAAAAUGAACUGAAUUGUGUUGGGCAGUCGAUGGCAUAUGUAAAACAAAAUACAAAACAUUGCCCGGAACAAUAGAGAUAAUAUUUCAUCACUUAAGCUAAAAUUGGACAUAGAAGUAUGAAUGCUGUGCAUGUAACACCAAUAUAUUAGCCGCGCCAUGAAAAAACCAACAUAAUGGCUUUGUGACCAGCAUGGAUCCAGACCAGCCUGCGCAACCGCGCAGUCUGAUCAGAAUCCAUGCUGUUCGCUUUCAUAGCCUAUUGCAAGUAGAGAAACCAUAAGCGAACAGCAUGGAUCCUGACCAGAAUGCGCGGAUGCGCAGGCUGGUCUGGAUCUAUGCUGGUCGCAAAGCCACUAUGUUGGUUUUUUCAUGGUGCGGCUCAUGUUUUGAAUACUGCUUAGUAAUACAUCAUCGAUUUGUGGGAUACACAGUUUAUAAUGUUUAGGAUUCUUUGUGCAUUUUAGAAGUAAUGUUCUAAUUUCGUGACAGUUGAAAUAGUUACCAAUUUAGAGCCCAGACAAAGAGAAUUGUAGAAAAAUCAAGAACAGACAGACGGAUUGAUAUUAAGUGUUUCACAAGAUGCUUCUCCCAUAAGAAGCCAUAAAUAUCCCUGUAAAAAUAAUCAACAUGGCGAGGAUAAAUUUACUCAUAAAGCACAAUGUGAAGACAAACUUGUUGCUGAUAACUACGCAAUGUAAACUUAACAACGUUUUAUUUAAGUAUCUUAUAAAAAUAUUAUGUAAAUUUUGUUGUAAUACUUUUAAGCACCUGUUUGAAAAGACGUUUUACAGUGCCAAAUGGGAGCAGAUUUGUAUUUCAUUCAACAUUUGUCGCAGUCAGCAUGUCCCUAAACAAAGUCAUUUCAACGUUUGAAAGGUAUAAUAUUCGACUGUCGUGUUAAAACAGCCUUUGUCAUGAUAAAUUCACAUUCAAAAUAGCUCUAAAAGUGAAAGCGAUAGCAUCGCAAACAUUUUAGUCUUUAGAAACAGUAAAACCAUACAACACUAUAUUAUCUCCCUAUCAUUUUAAUUUAUAACAUUUAACAAUGACCCUAAUGAUCAGUAAUUAUCAAACUUCUGGGAAUGUCAAUAAUUCCACAAUGACUAAUAGUAAUUAUACUGUGAAGCUACGGAGCUGAUAGCAUACUAGUUGUUGUUUGAAUUCUGUCUCUAUUAUUUCAUUCCAGUCGAGGCAUACUGUAUUUCUAUGAGACAGGACAUUCAGCUUAAAGGGAGAAUUUUUUAGGAUGACAUUAAUUUGCUGAGUUCUGCCUUCUUAGUAUACGAUCAUACAUGAUAAUAAACUUUAGAGAUCUUAAAUUACAUUUUAGCUUUUAAACCUUUAAAAUGACAACAUGCUAGGUAUGCUUUAUAAUUUACUGUCUCUCAAGUAACGUACGUGACUAUAUCUUACGUAAACAAAAUGGUAAACAUUUUACAAUACAUUUAACAUCAUGCAACAUUUAAAAAAAUAAACUAUCAAAAAUAUUGAUAUAUAGAUUGUUUUCUUUUCACUGAUUAGUAUUGUUAGAAAACUCGGACAUUUCAUUCAUUGUCUUGUCGUAUUAUAUUAAUUAUAGUUUAUGUUUAUUAGUGUACUACGUGAUGUACAUGUACCACAUUCCGUGUAGUUAUUAUUAAAAAUAUCCAUGUAUGAGAUCAUGAUCUCAGUAUACUGCUAUUUUAGCAAUCGAUAAACAAAAGAUUUAUGUAAAGUAGUUUUAACACCAAUAAUGCAGAAUGUUCUAGAAACAUUUACUUACGCUUAAAUACAUACGUUAUUGUCAAUACGUUGCAGUUUUGUACAGCUAGAAUCAGUACUGCGCAUUUAAAAUUACAUCUAACACAAAUCUUUGUUAUAACGAUAUUGUUAAUUAAACAAUUCAAGACAAUAUUUGCUGGUCUCUUAAGGUCUGUACAGUCUGACAAACGCCCUAAUUUAUGUCUUAGAUAUUCCAUUGUGCAUUGUCGACUCCCGGACCUCCAUAAUAGUCUUAAAAUAAGUAUAAGACUCGGGGUUAAAUCUCAGAGAGGUAAGGCCUGUAGGUUUUGUAUCAUCAUCUCUUUUAGGUGAAUGUCUCCGGUGUUCACGCAAUGGCUGCAAGUAGGCAGAGACAAGGGCUUUUAAGUAGAAAUAUUACUUGUAAAUUUUGAGAAUUUGAGAAUUUCCUGUAUUAGAAGUAUUGAGAACCUAGGCCUAGAAGUAUCUUGUGGAAAAGAGGAUUUCCUGUUGAAAAUAUUUGGUUUGUUGAAGAAAACUUUAUGAGUUAACUGAUUUGCUUCAUUCAAGAAAGUUUCAUUUCUGUGCAAAUACGCAUUUUAAAUUUUUCAGUUCACAUUAGCUGCCUCAGCACAUUAUAAAGUGUACCAAUUUUCUUUGAGGUACACCACCUAUCAAUUUACUGCUCUUUUUUGGGCAAAUUCAACGUGGGUCUGGUCUGAAUCCUUUCUACACUUUCGGACUCUGCCUAUAUGCUCAUAAACUUUCAAAAUUAUUCCUUUCGCAACAUCAUAAUGUGAGAUUUGAUUUACAGACAGCUGUGUGUAAAUUUAAGGGAAAACUCAUUUGCUCAACUAUGAUGGUGCAUAGGUUCCGGCGGAGCUGCAAACAACUAUGGACGGCGUAAAUAAAUGAUAUAAAUAGUUAUAUAAUUGUUUACAACUACAUGUUAACACGUUACAUGUUUAUUUUGUACCCAUACUCACAAAGCAAACAGUUCCAAACCACUACAAAAUUAACAAUGACAUUCUCCAAACUAGAAUUAAGAUAUAAACCAGCAAACAGGAAGAGCAACUAAGUUUAUAAAAACGCGGCAAGCGAAAGCGCAAAUUCUACUUGCGUUCGUAAUUGUUACUUGUUUGACAAUGUAUCUUUACUGUCUCUACAGUCGAGUUGUUUUCACAUUUAAUGUUUUACAGUACAUCACCAAACCACAGAAUGUUGGGUGCACAAACAACAUAUUUUCCUGUUCAAUACAUUUUUUACAGUAGUGCCCCGAACGAUUCGCUCAAAAAGUCGUCCCCCUUUAAAAAAGAAUGCUUCUUGAAAAUAAAUAAAAAAUAAACACAUGCAAACUGCGUUAAACCUUGUUAUUGAAUUUUAGCUCUGGGACAUUAUUGCAAAUGCAUCAAAAGAAAUAUUAAUAUAUAUCAGUACAAUGAAAAUGUUUGGUUUUUAGACAGAAGUGCAGCCGCUUUAUUCCCUUUUCGGAAUUCAACGUGUAUCAGUAAAACUGCAGCUGUUUUGAAGAUAAAUAUUUGGAUUAUAGUUUGUUCAAUUUUCAUGUAAAACAACUCUUUCUUUCAAUGAUUUGAUUUGUUUGAUUUGUUUCGUCAAAAUACGGUAUUAGUCCUUAAUUUACCUCAGUAAUACUGCGGAACGGGUAUAAUCUAAUAGCGCAUGCGCAAUUCCUGUGUUUCCCUUUGUUAUGAAAGAAGGUAAAGGUUUCUUAAUGAAAUAAUCGCAUGUUUACUCACCGAAUCAAGGUGUCGUGAAAAUGGACCUAUUAUGAAGUGAUUCGCGCAUCUGUUGGCGACGUACAUUACCACCCCUGACUGUAAUUGUCAAGAUUUCACUGUUUAUAGCAAAUACAAAACACUAACAAAUCUAAAAAGAACGAAAAAAAAAUGAGUAUAUGCUACUUGAGUAUACGCCGUUCGUAAAAUUAUUGCAUCUGGUGCUUAAAUCAUGAAAAUCAUUUCGAUCUAACACUGAAAACAUUUUUCAUUUGUUUCUAAAAAUGCGAAAGUGAGAAUAUUUUACUUUAUUGAUUCACGGUGAUGAUAACAAAAACCCUUUGAAGGCCUUCCGUAACUUACACCUGUGCAAGAUCUUGGUAAAAUUAAAGGUCGACAAGCAAGGCAGUAGGCUGCUUUGAAAUAAAAAUGUGCUAUUUUCUUUUUUUUAACUCUGGCAAGAGUAAAAAUCAACUCAGAAUUUAUAAUGUGUUUCCCGGGAACACUAAGAUAUCCUAAAAGAUUUUAAUCAAUCUGUGGCCGAGUGGUUAUGGUCGCUGACUUCAAAUCACUUGCCCCUCACUGGUAUGGAUUCUAUCCUCACUCGAGUUGAAUUCUUCAUGUGAUGAAGCCAGCAGACUUACGAAAGGUCGGUGGUUCUACGCAUGUGUCUCUUUGAGAUGAAAUAAUAUAUAGAGAGGCACCUAGGGUCUUCCUCUACCAUCAAAACUGAGAAGACGCCAUAUGACCUAUAAUUGUUUCGGUGCGACAAUAAAUCAAACAAAACAAGCUCUUAACAUAAGAAUAAAUUAUGUAAGAAUAACAUCGCUGCGUCCAAGUACGGAGAGACAUUUUACAGACCUAAAUACUUCUAUUUUAAUAGCUAAAAGUCUUUUAAAAGAUCCUUUGUAAGCAUAGGAUGCAACCAUGUAAAGUAAUAGCUGACUGGGUCUGACUGAGUAUCUUCAUGAGAUGUAAUGAAAUGUGAAACAGCCCUCACGCCCCUUAGCACCGGCUUAAGCGGAAUUCUAUCACGGUAUAACUGAGUUUACGCCAUGAUCCCAAAGAACCAGAAAAUAUAACCCUGAGUCCUAGUUCGGGGAGACUUUUACAACACCCACUUUAAAAUUGCUGUUUUAAUUGUUAAAAUUGACAUUCUGUUUGUCGAAGUUUUUCAUUUAUUUUAUGCAACGCCGAGUACCUAGAUGAUUAAAGCGAAUUGAAGAGUUCGUAGUCAUAUAAUGCUAUUUAACGAAUUUAUCGCAUAAGGAGCGCCAAAACCUGCUGAUGGAAGGCUGAACACCACUAAAUCCGGCUGUUCUUUAUUUUAUAUAAAAUGCCCUUACUUUAUAACGGUUUUCCACAUUUUCUAGCAUAUUAGAUUUUCAGAGACUUAUAUUCCCAUAAAGAACUAUGUCACUACUUUAGAAAAACAAACAGAAAAGGGGUUGUUAACUUUUAUAUAAGAAAACUAAAGUUCUUGAAAUACAACCCGCUGAAUUUACUCCUUUUCGCUUCUUUCAAUUUCUCUUUCCGAGACAUUAAAUUCUUACGCCGCCAUUUUUAUCUAGCAUGCGAUAGAACAUGCCGAUUUCAAUGAUACAUACUGAAACGCGGCAGAGUAAAAGUAACACGUUGCUAUUGAGAAAAGGCACUAGGAAAGGAAAAAAGAUUAGCACUAUUUAUAUUUUGACUAUUUGUGACAGACCUACAGAGGUUUACAUUUAUUUUGGUUGUGAUUAGCCUAUAACCAUCGGCAGCCACUGUCGUGCAUGGAGAGUACCAAGGUUUGAGUAACAGAGGACAUACAUUGAAAAGAUCUGGACAAAAUGAAGUCACUCCAAAUAACACUGAUUUUUAUUUCGCUGGCAAUCUUUAUUUUCGUUAUAGAAGUUCAAGGUCAACUAUGUAAUCAAAGAACAUGUACAGAUAGGAAACCCUUUAUCAAAGGAAAAGGACAGUGCGCAAGGAGCAGACCAAAUAUGCGUUGUGUCAGGAUAGGCCGAACCUGUCGUUGCAAGUCCAGCUUAAUUCUAAACGCAAGUCCUCCAGUUCAAAACAAACAACCGGUUGAUGAACUCAAAGCUACACUUGAUGUUUCUCUUACCAUACAGAGUAAUGGAAAUACCAUGGACAAUGUUAAUAUAAAUGACACUUACUCAGAGUAUUGAGUGAUUCAACAUUAUGUUGAAAUAAUUAUUUACGGCAACUGUCGCGGAUAUAUUUUCACAAAUGUGAUGAAUUAAUGUUUCAGAAGUUUUCAGAACCAAAAUGCUACUUUUCAUUUGUUUUAUAAUUUAUAAAAUUUAAAUGCAUUCUAACAAGUCCAAAUGUGUAACGAAUUUAACAGUGUUGGCAUAAAUAUUUUUUUUUUGUUAUUUCUGUUAAUGUUUACGCAUUCGUGGUUAAAGUAAUAAUUAUAUAACUGAUGAGAUAGCUAUCAUAUCCUCCGGUUUGAAAAACGUCGUCAGGAAAACUGUUUUUAUUUAGUGGCAAGCAGCACAUCUCAACGUUUAAUGUGAUUUCUGGUGAGCAGCAAAAUAUAUAGAAGAAAUGUAAAAGAAGUUUCGAAUAUUACAAUGUAGUGUAACCCGUAAACUAACACCUAUGUUUACGUUACAAAAUAUUAAUACUGUUAAUAUUAUGUGAAUAAAUAGGUAUCAGUCUAUUAAAAUGCUUGUAUUGAUGUUUCAAA